rnacentral:rRNA from 1 species
CUACGGGGGGCAGCAGUGAGGAAUAUUGCGCAAUGGGGGAAACCCUGACGCAGCGACGCCGCGUGGAUGAUGACGCAUUUCGGUGUGUAAACUCCUUUUAUAUGUCAAGAAAAUGACGGUAGCAUAUGAAUAAGCACCGGCUAACUCCGUGCCAGCAGCCGCGGUAAUACGGAGGGUGCAAGCGUUACUCGGAAUCACUGGGCGUAAAGGACGCGUAGGCGGGUUGGAAAGUCAGGUGUGAAAUCCUACAGCUUAACUGUAGAACUGCACUUGAAACUUCUAAUCUAGAGUAUGGGAGGGGGAGAUGGAAUUAGUGGUGUAGGGGUAAAAUCCGUAGAUAUCACUAGGAAUACCUAAAGCGAAGGCGAUCUCCUGGAACAUUACUGACGCUAAGGCGUGAAAGCGUGGGGAGCAAACAGGAUUAGAUACCCUCGUAGUC